UUUAUUGGAGAGUUUGAUCCUGGCUCAGGAUGAACGCUGGCGGCGUGCCUAAUACAUGCAAGUCGAGCGAAUGGAUUGAGAGCUUGCUCUCAAGAAGUUAGCGGCGGACGGGUGAGUAACACGUGGGUAACCUGCCCAUAAGACUGGGAUAACUCCGGGAAACCGGGGCUAAUACCGGAUAACAUUUUGAACUACAUGGUUCGAAAUUGAAAGGCGGCUUCGGCUGUCACUUAUGGAUGGACCCGCGUCGCAUUAGCUAGUUGGUGAGGUAACGGCUCACCAAGGCAACGAUGCGUAGCCGACCUGAGAGGG
rnacentral:rRNA from 1 species